rnacentral:rRNA from 1 species
UACGUAGGGGGCAAGCGUUGUCCGGAAUCAUUGGGCGUAAAGCGCGUGUAGGCGGCUCGACAAGUCUGCUGUGAAAGUCCAGGGCUCAACCCUGGGAUGCCGGUGGAUACUGUCGAGCUUGAGUCCGGAAGAGGCGAGUGGAAUUCCUGGUGUAGCGGUGAAAUGCGCAGAUAUCAGGAGGAACACCGAUGGCGAAGGCAGCUCGCUGGGACGUGACUGACGCUGAGACGCGAAAGCGUGGGGAGCAAACAGG